rnacentral:rRNA from 1 species
GCAGUAGGGAAUCUUCCACAAUGGGCGAAAGCCUGAUGGAGCAAUGCCGCGUGAGUGAAGAAGGUCUUCGGAUCGUAAAGCUCUGUUGUUAGAGAAGAACAAGAGGUGUAGUAACUGGCACCUCCUUGACGGUAUCUAACCAGAAAGUCACGGCUAACUACGUGCCAGCAGCCGCGGUAAUACGUAGGGGGCAAGCGUUGUCCGGAAUUAUUGGGCGUAAAGCGCGCGCAGGCGGUCUCUUAAGUCUGAUGUGAAAGCCCACGGCUCAACCGUGGAGGGUCAUUGGAAACUGGGAGACUUGAGUGUAGGAGAGGAAAGUGGAAUUCCACGUGUAGCGGUGAAAUGCGUAGAGACGUGGAGGAACACCAGUGGCGAAGGCGACUUUCCGGCCUAUAACUGACGCUGAGGCGCGAAAGCGUGGGGAGCAAACAGGAUUAGAUACCCUGGUAGUCCACGCCGUAAACGAUGAGUGCUAGGUGUUAGGGGUUUCGAUACCCUUAGUGCCGACGUUAACACAUUAAGCACUCCGCCUGGGGAGUACGGCCGCAAGGCUGAAACUCAAAGGAAUUGACGG